UGGACAUUUAUUUUAAAGCAGUUUCUUCUUACCAUGAAGAGAACUCUUUGUAAAUGUCCUAGAAAAAAUAUAGUAGCACUCUGUGUACCAUUUGCCAAGUUAGAAAGAGUGUAUUGGUUUCACUUACUGACAUUU
rnacentral:snoRNA from 1 species